rnacentral:rRNA from 1 species
GAUGAACGCUGGCGGCGUGCCUAAUACAUGCAAGUCGAGCGAACGGACGAGAAGCUUGCUUCUCUGAUGUUAGCGGCGGACGGGUGAGUAACACGUGGAUAACCUACCUAUAAGACUGGGAUAACUUCGGGAAACCGGAGCUAAUACCGGAUAAUAUUUUGAACCGCAUGGUUCAAAAGUGAAAGACGGUCUUGCUGUCACUUAUAGAUGGAUCCGCGCUGCAUUAGCUAGUUGGUAAGGUAACGGCUUACCAAGGCAACGAUGCAUAGCCGACCUGAGAGGGUGAUCGGCCACACUGGAACUGAGACACGGUCCAGACUCCUACGGGAGGCAGCAGUAGGGAAUCUUCCGCAAUGGGCGAAAGCCUGACGGAGCAACGCCGCGUGAGUGAUGAAGGUCUUCGGAUCGUAAAACUCUGUUAUUAGGGAAGAACAUAUGUGUAAGUAACUGUGCACAUCUUGACGGUACCUAAUCAGAAAGCCACGGCUAACUACGUGCCAGCAGCCGCGGUAAUACGUAGGUGGCAAGCGUUAUCCGGAAUUAUUGGGCGUAAAGCGCGCGUAGGCGGUUUUUUAAGUCUGAUGUGAAAGCCCACGGCUCAACCGUGGAGGGUCAUUGGAAACUGGAAAACUUGAGUGCAGAAGAGGAAAGUGGAAUUCCAUGUGUAGCGGUGAAAUGCGCAGAGAUAUGGAGGAACACCAGUGGCGAAGACGACUUUCUGGUCUGUAACUGACGCUGAUGUGCGAAAGCGUGGGGAUCAAACAGGAUUAGAUACCCUGGUAGUCCACGCCGUAAACGAUGAGUGCUAAGUGUUAGGGGGUUUCCGCCCCUUAGUGCUGCAGCUAACGCAUUAAGCACUCCGCCUGGGGAGUACGACCGCAAGGUUGAAACUCAAAGGAAUUGACGGGGACCCGCACAAGCGGUGGAGCAUGUGGUUUAAUUCGAAGCAACGCGAAGAACCUUACCAAAUCUUGACAUCCUUUGACAACUCUAGAGAUAGAGCUUUCCCCUUCGGGGGACAAAGUGACAGGUGGUGCAUGGUUGUCGUCAGCUCGUGUCGUGAGAUGUUGGGUUAAGUCCCGCAACGAGCGCAACCCUUAAGCUUAGUUGCCAUCAUUAAGUUGGGCACUCUAAGUUGACUGCCGGUGACAAACCGGAGGAAGGUGGGGAUGACGUCAAAUCAUCAUGCCCCUUAUGAUUUGGGCUACACACGUGCUACAAUGGACAAUACAAAGGGCAGCGAAACCGCGAGGUCAAGCAAAUCCCAUAAAGUUGUUCUCAGCUCGGAUUGUAGUCUGCAACUCGACUACAUGAAGCUGGAAUCGCUAGUAAUCGUAGAUCAGCAUGCUACGGUGAAUACGUUCCCGGGUCU